ensembl:snRNA U1 U1 spliceosomal RNA
AUACUUACCUGGCAAGGGAGAUACUGUGAUCAAGAAGGUAGUUCACCCAGGGCGAGGCUCAGCCAUUGCACUCUGGCUGUGCUGACCCCUGCGAAUUUCCCAAAUGUGGAAAUCUCGAUUGCAUAAUUUAUGGUAGUGGGGGACUGGGUUCGUGCUCUCCCCUG